rnacentral:lncRNA from 1 species
AUAUGAUUAUUUAUGUUUUCACAAAAUUAGGAUCAAGCAUGUGUUAGCAAAUGAUUACAUAAUUUUGGAUUAUGAUUAUUAUUAUAGUAUAUGCACAUGAUUAUGAUGAUGUAGAAAGAUGCAUAGAAAAAUAAAGUUUUCAGCAUGAUCAUGAGUUUUAUUUAGCAUGAUGCCAUUAUUCACUUUCCAAUGUAUCUAUGAGAAAAGAUU